AGUGAACGCUGGCGGUAGGCCUAACACAUGCAAGUCGAACGGCAGCACAGUAAGAGCUUGCUCUUACGGGUGGCGAGUGGCGGACGGGUGAGGAAUACAUCGGAAUCUACUUUUUCGUGGGGGAUAACGUAGGGAAACUUACGCUAAUACCGCAUACGACCUACGGGUGAAAGCAGGGGAUCUUCGGACCUUGCGCGAUUGAAUGAGCCGAUGUCGGAUUAGCUAGUUGGCGGGGUAAAGGCCCACCAAGGCGACGAUCGGUAGCUGGUCUGAGAGGGUGACCGGCCAGAGUGGGAAUGAGAUAAGGCCCAGACUCCUAGGGGAGGAAGCAGUGGGGAAUAUUGCACAAUGGGCGGAAGCAUGAUGCAGCAACGCAGUGUGAGGGAUGACGGCCUUAGGGUUGUAAACCGCUUUCGCCUGUGACGAAGCGUGAGUGACGGUAAUGGGUAAAGAAGCACCGGCUAACUACGUG
rnacentral:rRNA from 1 species